ACUCCACUGCUUUACCUACUCCUCAACAACUUCCGUUUCGACAUCACUGAGACACAAGCUCUGAUAUCAAUGAUCUUCGAUAGCCAUCUUGGCCCAUGGAUACUCGUUCUCUCCCUCUAUCGACGCACAAUUUCCAUUGCCCAAUAGAACCAAGCCAUCAAACUCGACAUCACUAUGACCCCGACUUCAACACCAACGCUCAGCCAUAUCAAACAAUAUCCAUGGACACUCGGAUGACAUAUCUCGAUCUCAAAAAUCCUUGACACCGACAAAUCCCCAUGGACAUGCCACAUCCAUUGACAUUGAGUCACAAACAUCAGUACUAUGAUGCUCAACCUAUUGACACCGAAGUCGAUUGGCAAUCCAUCGACUCCCGACGCGACCCCGAUUAUUCCGAUCACAGAUCCAGACCUCAAAUACCGUCAGUAUUACUUACCUCACCAGAAUCCAAUCUUGUCAAUGCCAACCCACCAUCGCUGGCAGAAGACUUCCAAACUUACACCCAGCUUAUGAUCCAUAUAGCUGAGUCUCUCGAUCUCCAAAUCCACCACCCUUCGACAGAACCGGCUGAUCAUCUAUACAACCCAAUCUCUAAACAUACAACUACUCAACUAUCCUGGACAAAACCAGCCUCUUCCUAUACCAUUUCUAAACGAAUCAAUAACCUCUACAGAGUCCAUGAUCCUGGAGCAUUUUUCUUUCAAAAACAGCCAGCUCCAAACACUAUUUUUGUCAAAACCUCACAAUCCAGAUCUCAACAUCGACAGACAUACCAAAUAAAUGCAGUAGAAGGAUUGACUCAAUGGGAAGAUGGCUUUAUUUAUCAGCAGUGUUCACCAUGCGUGUUGCUAACUACCAGGGGGCCAUGGGUGCAUAUCAAUGUUUCUUUUGGGACAAUAUGUCAACCUUUGUCAAAUCUUUUAUCAAAGAUAAAAAGGUACUCGUCCAAACCUUUCAACAAGAAGUUCUUUCCGUUGCCAAACAACAGAUGCUUUCUGUUAGGCACACGGUAGACGCCACAGAGAACUCUUUGAUUGCCUCCUAAGGUAUAGCAAAAUAUACUUCUUCAGCUGAUCACUCUUUAAUCCCAACAGUUUUUCUGGUGU
rnacentral:lncRNA from 1 species